AGCUUUGCGCAGUGGCAGUAUCGUAGCCAAUGAGGUUUAUCUGAGGCGCAAUUAUCGCUAAAAAAAAAGAAAAUUUAUAUGG
rnacentral:snRNA from 12 species